AACGAACGCUGGCGGCAUGCCUAACACAUGCAAGUCGAACGAGACCUUCGGGUCUAGUGGCGCACGGGUGCGUAACGCGUGGGAACCUGCCCUUAGGUUCGGAAUAACUCCCCGAAAGGGGUGCUAAUACCGGAUAAUGUCUUCGGACCAAAGAUUUAUCGCCUUUGGAUGGGCCCGCGUUGGAUUAGCUAGUUGGUAGGGUAAAAGCCUACCAAGGCGACGAUCCAUAGCUGGUCUGAGAGGAUGAUCAGCCACACUGGGACUGAGACACGGCCCAGACUCCUACGGGAGGCAGCAGUGGGGAAUAUUGGACAAUGGGCGAAAGCCUGAUCCAGCAAUACCGCGUGAGUGAUGAAGGCCUUAGGGUUGUAAAGCUCUUUUACCCGGGAUGAUAAUGACAGUACCGGGAGAAUAAGCUCCGGCUAACUCCGU
rnacentral:rRNA from 1 species